rnacentral:rRNA from 1 species
UACGAAGGGGGGCUAGCGUUGUUCGGAAUUACUGGGCGUAAAGCGCACGUAGGCGGAUUGUUAAGUCAGGGGUGAAAUCCUGGAGCUCAACUCCAGAACUGCCCUUGAUACUGGCAAUCUUGAGUCCGGAAGAGGUAAGUGGAACUGCGAGUGUAGAGGUGAAAUUCGUAGAUAUUCGCAAGAACACCAGUGGCGAAGGCGGCUUACUGGUCCGGUACUGACGCUGAGGUGCGAAAGCGUGGGGGAGCGAACAGG